AUACCUAUACGUUGCCUCGGCGGAUCAGCCCGCGCCCCGUAAAACGGGACGGCCCGCCCGAGGACCCCUAAACUCUGUUUUUAGUGGAACUUCUGAGUAAAACAAACAAAUAAAUCAAAACUUUCAACAACGGAUCUCUUGGUUCUGGCAUCGAUGAAGAACGCAGCAAAAUGCGAUAAGUAAUGUGAAUUGCAGAAUUCAGUGAAUCAUCGAAUCUUUGAACGCACAUUGCGCCCGCCAGUAUUCUGGCGGGCAUGCCUGUUCGAGCGUCAUUUCAACCCUCAAGCUCAGCUUGGUGUUGGGACUCGCGGUAACCCGCGUUCCCCAAAUCGAUUGGCGGUCACGUCGAGCUUCCAUAGCGUAGUAAUCAUACACCUCGUUACUGGUAAUCGUCGCGGCCACGCCGUUAAACCCCAACUUCUGAAUGUUGACCUCGGAUCAGGUAGGAAUACCCGCUGAACUUAAGCAUAUCAAUAAGCG
rnacentral:misc_RNA from 1 species